UACAUUAACCCUCGACAUCUAAUGCUUAAUUACCCGGUUCUUUCUUAAAAUCUGUCCCGAUUAUCAAAUGUAAACAAAUCCUUCAGAUUUGCUUACGAAAUAAAAUAGUCUAAAUAGAUGUGAGCCCGUCACAAGUUAAAUAAGUGUAUUUAACAAUUUAAAUAAAACUUUAUUUUCUACAAUUUACGCCGUCAAGUAUAGAUGCUUUAAGCACAAAAGUUUCUGCAAGACUAUGGUUCACCCUUAUGUAUGGGCCUAUUUAAGAUAGGGAAUGUUUACAUAAACCCUAUUAAGAGGUACUCUUAACUGGUAUUAGGAUCAUUUACUCGGAAACCACUAAUCGAGUUUUAUUUUCUUCCAUCACUCGAAACAAUUGAUUGUGUCAAUCUACUAGCACACCAAAAGAAUUGGGAGAUCUCGGGUUCGAACUCUUAGAAUAGAAUAUAUUAAUUUGGAUAAGCACGAGUUGCUGCCCCAGUUGUGGACUUUCAUAAGUAAUUUGAUGUACUCUAGUUUGCAAAUUUGUAACAAUGUAAUUUAUUCCUUCAAUAGUACGUAUCCACUUGUGUACAUGUUCAUUUGUCUCAACUAAGGUUUAUAACCUGAUCCUCUUUAAACAUUG